ensembl:lncRNA
AUGUGCUAUGAAAGCAGGAAGAGAAUGUUAUCUCUGUCUCCUUCUAACAGGAAGGCAAAGGCUUUAUCAGAACUCCCAGGCAAACAUCUCCUUGUGUUUUAUUGGCUGGAAAAGAGAAUAGUUAACUGGACAAGUGUUAAGUGUGGAAAAAGAGGGAAGUGGAUAUUGGAUAAGCAACUGACCAUAAUGCUUCCCUUGGUUUGGCCUCACACUAUCCUGGUUGCUGAUGGGAGAACUGAUUGCAGCGCACAGGUGAUGGACAUUUCUUUAUGUUUGAAACGACCAUCCUGGGUGGUGGACAGCAAGAGAAUGAGGAUGGCUUCACAUUUCCAGUGGCUCUUAUUAACAGCUGUGCUUCUGUAUUUAACAAAUCAAGUAAACAGCCAGAAAAAAAGUACUCCUCAUGAUUUGAAGUGUGUAACUAACAAUUUACAAGUGUGGGACUGUUCUUGGAGAGCACCUUCUGGAGCAGGUCGUGGUGCUUCUUAUGAAGUUUGCAUUGAGAACGGGUCCCGUUCUUGUUAUCAAUUGGAGAAAAAUAGUAAAAUCCCACCUCUUUUACCUGGUGAUUAUGAAAUAACAGUAAACCCUUUAUAUGAGUUUGGAAGUUCCAAAAGUAAAUUCAUACUAAAUGAAAAAAACGUUUCCUUAAUUCCAGAAACUCCAGAGAUCUUGAAUUUGUCUGCUGAUUUCUCAACUUCUAUGUUACACCUAAAGUGGGAUGACAAAGGUUCUGUUUUUCCACAUUACUCAAAUGUCAUCUGGGAAAUUAAAGUCCUACGUAAAAAGAAUAUGGAAAUUGUAAAAUUAGUGACCUACAGCACAACUCUGAAUGGCAGAGAUACAGUUCAUCAUUGGAACUGGACUUCAGACAUGCCCCUGGAGUGUUGUGCCAUUCACUAUGUGGGGAUUAGAUGCUACAUUGACGAUCCUCAGUUCUCUGGUCACAAAGAGUGGAGUGACUGGAGCCUACUGAAGAACAUCUCUUUGCCUCCUGAUUCUCAGACUAAGGUUUUUCCUCAAGACAAAGUGAUACUUGCAGGCUCAGAUCUAACAGUAUGUUGUGUGACUCAAGAAAAAGUGUUAUCAGCACAGAUUGGCAGUACACAUUGUCCCCUUAUCCAUCUUGAUGGGGAAAAUGUUGCAAUCAAGAUUCGCAACAUUUCUGCUUCUGCAAGUAGUGGAACAAAUGUGGUUUUCUCAGUAGAAGAUAACAUAUUUGGAACAGUUGUUUUUGCGGGAUAUCCACCAGACAUUCCUCAAAAACUGAACUGUGAGACAUAUGAUUUAAAAGAAAUCAUUUGCACUUGGAAUCCAGGAAGACCGACAUCCUUGGAGGGCCCACGCAGUACAAGUUACACUUUAUUUGAAAGUUUUUCAGGAAAAUAUGUUAGAUUUAACAGAGAUGAAGUGUCCGCAAAUGAAAACUACCAGUUAUUCUUUCAAAUACUUUCAAAUCAAGAAGUAUACAAUUUUACAUUGAAUGCUCAAAAUCUUCUGGGUCAGACAGAAUCAACACUUUUAGUUAACAUAACUGAAAAAGUUCAUCCCCGUAUUCCUACUUCACUCAAAGUGAAGGAUAUUAAUUCAACAGCUGUGACACUUUCCUGGCAUUUACCGGGCAACUUUACAAAAAUUAAACUGUUAUGUCAAAUUGAAAUUAAUAAAACUAACUCAGAGCAUGAAUUGCGGAAUGUCACAAUGAGGGGGGUAGAAAGUUCAAAUUAUCUUACUACUGUGGACAAGUUAAAUCCAUAUACCAUAUAUACUUUUCGGAUUCGAUGUUCUACUGACCCUUUUUGGAAAUGGAGCAAAUGGAGCAAUGAAAAACAGUGUUUAACCACAGAAGCCAUUCCUUCAAAGGGACCAGAUAUUUGGAGGGAGUGGAGUUCUGAUGGAAAAAAUCUAAUAAUAUAUUGGAAGCCUUUACCCAUUAAUGAAGCUAAUGGAAAAAUACUUUCUUAUAAUGAAACAAAAUCCCUUUCUGAGAUUCCUGAUACUCAACACAAGGCAGAAUUACAACUUGAUAAAAAUGACUACAUCAUCAGUGUGGUGGCAAAAAAUGCUGCCGGCUCAUCACCACCUUCUAAAAUAGCUAGUAUGGAAAUUCCCAAUGAUGAUCUCAAAAUAGAGCAGGCUCUUGGAAUGGGAAAUAGGAUCCUCCUCACUUGGAAUUACGACCCCAACAUGACCUGCGACUAUGUAAUUAAGUGGUGUAACUCAUCUCAGUCUGGACCCUGCCUCAUGGACUGGAAAAAAAUCCCUUCAAACAGCACUGAAACUGUAAUAGAAUCUGAUCAGUUUCGACCAGGUGUAAGAUAUAAUUUUUCGGUGUAUGGGUGCAGAAAUCAAGGAUAUCAAUUAUUACAUUCUGUAAUUGGAUAUGUAGAAGAAUUGGCUCCAGCUAUUGCUCCAAAUUUUACCGUUGAGGAUACAUCUGCAGAUUCUAUAUUAGUGAAAUGGGAAGAAAUUCCUGUGGAAGAGCUUAGAGGAUUUUUAAGAGGAUAUUUAUUUUACUUUGAAAAAGGAGAGAGAGACACAUCUAAGAUAAUGGGUUUGGAAUCAGGUCGUUUUGACACAAAGGUUAAGAAUAUUACUGACAUAUCCCAGAAGACACUGAGGAUUGCUGAUCUUCAAGGUAAAACAAGUUACCACCUGGUCUUGCGAGCCUACACAGGUGGAGGAAUGGGCCCAGAGAGGAGCAUGUUUGUGGUGACAAAGGAGAACUCUGAGGGUUUGAUUAUUGCCAUUCUCAUCCCAGUGGCAGUGGCUGUCAUCAUUGGAGUGGUAACAAGUAUCCUUUGCUAUCGGAAACGAGAAUGGAUUAAAGAAACCUUCUAUCCUGAUAUUCCAAAUCCAGAAAAUUGUAAAGCUUUACAGUUUCAAAAGAGUGUCUGUGAGGUAAUCCUUUAUUUUCUUACAUUUACCUUUGAAGUUCUGGAAACUCGGUCAGUGGCUCCCAAAAUAGAAGAUACAGAAAUAAUUUCUCCGGUGGCUGAGCGUCCAGAAGAUCGCUCUGACGCAGAACCCGAGAACCACGUGGUUGUGUCCUAUUGCCCACCGGUCAUCGAGGAAGAGCUAGCGAACCCAGGAGCAGAAGGCGGCGGGGGCUCACAAGUCAUCUACAUUGACAUCCAGUCCAUGUACCAGCCUCAGGCAAAACCAGAGGGGGAGCUGGACAGUGACCCUGUAGGGGGAGCAGGCUAUAAGCCGCAGAUGCACCUCCCCAUUACUUCCACUGUAGACGACCUGGAUGCAGAUGAUGACUUAGAUAAAACUGCAGGUUACAGACCUCAGGCAAACGUAAAUACUUGGAACUUGGUAUCUCCAGACUCCCCUCGGUCCACAGACAGCAACAGUGAGAUUGUGUCUUUUGGAAGUCCAUGCUCCAUUAACUCCCGACAAUUUUUGAUUCCACCUAAAGAUGAAGAUUCUCCUAAAUCAAGUGGAGGAGGAUGGUCCUUUACAAACUUUUUUCAGAACAAACCAAAUGAUUAA